rnacentral:rRNA from 1 species
CCUACGGGAGGCAGCAGUGGGGAAUUUUGGACAAUGGGGGCAACCCUGAUCCAGCCAUUCCGCGUGAGUGAAGAAGGCCUUCGGGUUGUAAAGCUCUUUCGCAAGGGAAGAAAAACUUAUGAUCGAAUAAAUCAUGAGGUUGACGGUACCUUGAUAAGAAGCACCGGCUAACUACGUGCCAGCAGCCGCGGUAAUACGUAGGGUGCGAGCGUUAAUCGGAAUUACUGGGCGUAAAGCGUGCGCAGGCGGUUUUGUAAGUCGGAUGUGAAAUCCCCGGGCUCAACCUGGGAACUGCGUUCGAAACUGCAAGGCUAGAGUGUGUCAGAGGGGGGUAGAAUUCCACGUGUAGCAGUGAAAUGCGUAGAGAUGUGGAGGAAUACCAAUGGCGAAGGCAGCCCCCUGGGAUAACACUGACGCUCAUGCACGAAAGCGUGGGGAGCAAACAGGAUUAGAUACCCUGGUAGUCCACGCCCUAAACGAUGUCAACUAGUUGUUGGUAGAGUAAAAUCUAUGAGUAACGUAGCUAACGCGUGAAGUUGACCGCCUGGGGAGUACGGUCGCAAGGAUUAAAACGUUCAAAUGAAAUUGACGGCUUGNGNGNGCGAGNGACGACGAGGAGAGG